CCUACGGGAGGCAGCAGUGAGGAAUAUUGGUCAAUGGGCGCGAGCCUGAACCAGCCAAGUAGCGUGAAGGAUGACUGCCCUACGGGUUGUAAACUUCUUUUAUAAAGGAAUAAAGUGAGGCACGUGUGCCUGUUUGUAUGUACUUUAUGAAUAAGGAUCGGCUAACUCCUGGCCAGCAGCCGCGGUAAUACGGAGGAUCCGAGCGUUAUCCGGGUUUAUUGGGGUUAAAGGGGGCGUAGAUGGGUUGUUAAGUCAGUCGUGAAAGUGUGCGGCUCAACCGUAAAAUUGCAGUUGAUACUGGCAGCCUUGAGUACAGUUGAGGUAGGCGGAAUGCGUGGUGUAGCGGUGAAAUGCUUAGAUAUCACGAAGAACUCCGAUUGCGAAGGCAGCUUACUAACCUGCCACUGACAUUGAUGCUCGAAAGUGUGGGUAUCAAACAGGAUUAGAUACCCCAGUAGUC
rnacentral:rRNA from 1 species